CAAUAGCGUAUAUUUAAGUUGUUGCAGUUAAAAAGCUCGUAGUUGGAUUUCGGGUGGGACGCAGCGGUCUCGCAUUGCGUUUGUACUGCUGCAGCCCUCCUUCUUGCCGGGGGCGGCCUCUCGGACUUCACUGUCUGGGGGUCAGAAUCGGCGAUGUUACUUUGAGUAAAUUAGAGUGUUCAAAGCAAGCUUACGCUCUGAAUAUAAUAGCAUGGGAUAACACGACAGGACUCUGGCCUAUCGUGUUGGUCUAUAGGACCAGAGUAAUGAUUAAGAGGGACAGUCGGGGGCAUUCGUAUUCCGUUGUCAGAGGUGAAAUUCUUGGAUUUACGGAAGACGAACAUCUGCGAAAGCAUUUGUCAAGGAUGUUUNCAUUA
rnacentral:rRNA from 1 species